AUGAACGCUAGCGACAGGCUUAACACAUGCAAGUCGAGGGGCAGCACAGGUAGCAAUACCGGGUGGCGACCGGCGCACGGGUGAGUAACGCGUAUGCAACUUGCCUAUCAGAGGGGGAUAACCCGGCGAAAGUCGGACUAAUACCGCAUGAAGCAGGGGCCCCGCAUGGGGAUAUUUGCUAAAGAUUCAUCGCUGAUAGAUAGGCAUGCGUUCCAUUAGGCAGUUGGCGGGGUAACGGCCCACCAAACCGACGAUGGAUAGGGGUUCUGAGAGGAAGGUCCCCCACAUUGGUACUGAGACACGGACCAAACUCCUACGGGAGGCAGCAGUGAGGAAUAUUGGUCAAUGGGCGUAAGCCUGAACCAGCCAAGUCGCGUGAGGGAUGAAGGUUCUAUGGAUCGUAAACCUCUUUUAUAAGGGAAUAAAGUGCGGGACGUGUCCCGUUUUGUAUGUACCUUAUGAAUAAGGAUCGGCUAACUCCGUGCCAGCAGCCGCGGUAAUACGGAGGAUCCGAGCGUUAUCCGGAUUUAUUGGGUUUAAAGGGUGCGUAGGCGGCCUUUUAAGUCAGCGGUGAAAGUCUGUGGCUCAACCAUAGAAUUGCCGUUGAAACUGGGGGGCUUGAGUAUGUUUGAGGCAGGCGGAAUGCGUGGUGUAGCGGUGAAAUGCUUAGAUAUCACGCAGAACCCCGAUUGCGAAGGCAGCCUGCCAAGCCAUGACUGACGCUGAUGCACGAAAGCGUGGGGAUCAAACAGGAUUAGAUACCCUGGUAGUCCACGCAGUAAACGAUGAUCACUAGCUGUUUGCGAUACAGUGUAAGCGGCACAGCGAAAGCGUUAAGUGAUCCACCUGGGGAGUACGCCGGCAACGGUGAAACUCAAAGGAAUUGACGGGGGCCCGCACAAGCGGAGGAACAUGUGGUUUAAUUCGAUGAUACGCGAGGAACCUUACCCGGGUUUGAACGCAUUCGGACCGAGGUGGAAACACCUUUUCUAGCAAUAGCCGUUUGCGAGGUGCUGCAUGGUUGUCGUCAGCUCGUGCCGUGAGGUGUCGGCUUAAGUGCCAUAACGAGCGCAACCCUUGCCACUAGUUACUAACAGGUUAGGCUGAGGACUCUGGUGGGACUGCCAGCGUAAGCUGCGAGGAAGGCGGGGAUGACGUCAAAUCAGCACGGCCCUUACAUCCGGGGCGACACACGUGUUACAAUGGCGUGGACAAAGGGAAGCCACCUGGCGACAGGGAGCGAAUCCCCAAACCACGUCUCAGUUCGGAUCGGAGUCUGCAACCCGACUCCGUGAAGCUGGAUUCGCUAGUAAUCGCGCAUCAGCCAUGGCGCGGUGAAUACGUUCCCGGGCCUUGUACACACCGCCCGUCAAGCCAUGGGAGCCGGGGGUACCUGAAGUCCGUAACCGCGAGGAUCGGCCUAGGGUAAAACUGGUGACUGGGGCU
rnacentral:rRNA from 1 species